GACGAACGCUGGCGGCGUGCUUAACACAUGCAAGUCGAACGCUGAAGCCCAGCUUGCUGGGUGGAUGAGUGGCGAACGGGUGAGUAACACGUGAGUAACCUGCCCCCUUCUUUGGGAUAACGCCCGGAAACGGGUGCUAAUACUGGAUAUUCACUGAUCUUCGCAUGGGGGUUGGUGGAAAGGUUUUUUCUGGUGGGGGAUGGGCUCGCGGCCUAUCAGCUUGUUGGUGGGGUGAUGGCCUACCAAGGCUUUGACGGGUAGCCGGCCUGGGAGGGUGACCGGUCACAUUGGGACUGAGAUACGGCCCAGACUCCUACGGGAGGCAGCAGUGGGGAAUAUUGCACAAUGGGCGAAAGCCUGAUGCAGCGACGCCGCGUGAGGGAUGACGGCCUUCGGGUUGUAAACCUCUUUCGCUCAUGGUCAAGCCGCAGCUUUGGGUUGUGGUGAGGGUAGUGGGUAAAGAAGCGCCGGCUAACUACGCGCCAGCAGCCGCGGUAAUACGUAGGGCGCGAGCGUUGUCCGGAAUUAUUGGGCGUAAAGGGCUUGUAGGCGGUUGGUCGCGUCUGCCGUGAAAUCCUCUGGCUUAACUGGGGGCGUGCGGUGGGUACGGGCUGACUUGAGUGCGGGAGGGGAGACUGGGAACUCCCUGGUGUGUCGGUGUAAUGCGCAG
rnacentral:rRNA from 1 species